AUGGUAAUGAAUAGAUGUUAACAAAUUUAAUGAAUGCAUUCAUUUCAGUGAUAAUAAUAAGAGCAAAUUCGAAUUAUAACAUUUUCAAGAUAUAACCAAAUGCGUUUGUAGAUGCAAAGUCCAUAUACAGUAUGCAUCUACAUUCCUCAUUGUCUGUAUAUAUAUUGGCUGCAGACUUCUUUACAGAAAGGAGGACAGGAACCAGGCCAAUAGGGUUGCCACAGAGUCGCCUUAUCAGCGGUUUAUGUGGUACGACGUGGCAUAGACUACCUCGAGGCGAUUUCUAUGUGAACAGUCCUUGUAUGAGCAUAUACGUGGUAUCUACUAUCGUAUCGUAUCGUAUACAUAGAUAGUUUACCUUCUUGUCCAUCGGAUCGACGAUACAAACGGAUCUCCGUAAUUUCCGAGGCAUCACGGUGUCACAACGUCACCACAACUGUGCGUUCAAUUUGUCUACCGAUGGUGAAACGUAUGUGGGAUACAAUAUCGCCGUUUCUCUGUGCUACCGAUUUCAUCACCCUUCCAAUACCAACGACUUGUCGAUCGAAUUGAGUCGCGUGUCCCUCCUACCUCCGCAUUUGCGCACAAAAGGCUAAACGUCAAUGAAUACGUUUUCGCUCGUCGUUGGAUUAUUAGGAAUCACCGAUCGAGACCGAUAUGCCUCGCUGAUGCACCGGACGGGCAGUAUAUUAUUAUACGGUUCGAAUGGUUCCGCAACGAUGAUCUCGGCGAGGAUUGGCGUUCGGAUGAGAAAGCAAUCGAAUAGCUGGCAGUGUCCACCGGCGUCGCGAUACUCUGCUACGUCAGGGGAAGUAGGCCGUAAAUUUCGCGACCUUAUUCAGGACGAAAAGGUGGAACGCGACCGGUAGGACGUGGAAUGGUAGGACGAUGCGCGAUUCUUUCACGAGACACUGACUUCCUUAGCUCCUCCGUACCGUGAGACAUCGGCAACCGCUGAUGUGAAAGGAAACACGGGGAUGGUGGGCCGAUCGGUUCCCGGAAUAACGAUUUAUUUUCAACGCUAUUGCAACGCGAUACGUUGAAGACCGAGCUUCUUAAUACAACGUAAAGAUUACUAUUCUUUUCCUUAUUAAGAUUUAAUGUAAAAAAAGCGAUAUAUUAAUAUUGUAUUAUAUCGUGUGUAUCAUGUACAGAUCAAUAAUACCAUGAUUAAAAAGAGAUAAAAAAAGUCAACACA
rnacentral:lncRNA from 13 species